GAUGAACGCUGGCGGCGUGCUUAACACAUGCAAGUCGAACGAUGAAAGCGGGAGCUUGCUCCUGCUGGAUUAGUGGCGAACGGGUGAGUAACACGUGAGUAACCUGCCCUUGACUCUGGGAUAAGCGUUGGAAACGACGUCUAAUACCGGAUACGACCUUCGGAGGCAUCUCCUGGGGUGGAAAGAAUUCGGUCAAGGAUGGACUCGCGGCCUAUCAGCUAGUUGGUGAGGUAAUGGCUCACCAAGGCGACGACGGGUAGCCGGCCUGAGAGGGUGACCGGCCACACUGGGACUGAGACACGGCCCAGACUCCUACGGGAGGCAGCAGUGGGGAAUAUUGCACAAUGGGCGCAAGCCUGAUGCAGCAACGCCGCGUGAGGGACGACGGCCUUCGGUGUAAACGUCUUUAGUAGGGAAGAAGCGAAAGUAGGACGGUACCU
rnacentral:rRNA from 1 species